CCUUUUUCCUCUUCCGCAGAUAAGGAUUCAAUUUGCUAGCUAUUUCAGACGAAGAUUCAUUCCAAUUUUGCUGCAGGUUAGAUUUAGUUACUUCUCAAUAACCUAUAUUAUAUCCUUUAAUCUCAGAAGUUUUAUUUAUUGAUUUUUCAAACUCCUUAAUUACAUGGAACUGAUCAGUAGUAUUUGCGCAUUCUUAGCAGACAGGUCAUGUAUGUUGUUAAUCAACUUCAGAGAAAGAAAGUAAUUGCAUUGUAAUUUGUCAGCAAAAAUUUGUCCAUUGCUAAUCCAUGUUCAAAACUCAUUGGAACAAACACAGGUAUGGAUCUAACAUUGGUUUAGGGUUCUACAUGCUAUUAUGUUUAAAGUUCCUUGAAUUUGAUGCCAGGAGAGGCCGAGGAUCGUGAUGAAGAAGUUUAUGAAAUUUGUGUGGGUCAGAUCACGUAGGUUGUUAACCGACCUCGGGGAAAGAAAGCAAAUAAAGCAACUGAAGUUUGCACUUAUGGGUAGGUAGUGUUAUCUAUAAUUAUAAGGAAAUAUGAUGUUUGUUGACAAAAGGUGGUGGAUUGUGUUAGACAGAUUAAUACAAAGGAAGAAAACUAUCGUAACCAAAAUUCAUUUCUAUUAAGAUACUGUCUCCAAUCAAUUGUAGAUCAUCACCUACUGUUUUUAGUUUCUAGGUUAGAUCUUGCUUCAAAUCAUUAAUUGAAAUUUCCUCUUUGUUUUCAUUUGUUUUGUUAAAUUUUGUUGUUCAUGAUGAAUUGAAUCAAGUAGAUUGUACUGGAGUUGAAUAUCUCAAUAAAACAACAUGUAUCUAGGUUAAGAUAAGGUAUGAUUGUGAUAAACUUAUCGCAGAAAAACUUUUGAACUUGGAGAUUUUGCGUUUUUUGUUAGGUUACAGAGCACGAUGGCUUCAAUCUGCAGAGAGAUGCAGAUGAACAACUUCUUAUUUAUCUUCCUUUACUGAGGUUGUCAAAUUUCAGUAAUUUCUGAUCAAAGAUUCAAAGGUCCUCAAGAGGAAGGUAAGGUUUGGUGUUUUUGUUUGUUUCUCAUCAUGGCUACCAAUAAAAUAUGCUUUGUUAGCAUGUUUGCUGCUUUAGUUCACAUAUUUUAUAAGUCGGUAAUUUGUUUGUAUUGUAUAUCUACCUCUACAUUGAUCCUACCAAGCAUAUUAUGUUUUCCGGUUUGCAUGUUUGUAGAAAGUCAGUGGUUACUAAAAACUAAGACCUACAGGAAUAAGGCUAAACAAUUUUUUAAUUUGGCUUAAUCAAUUUUCUCAAAUAAGUGAAAUGUUUUUUAUUUCAAUUGAAUUUGAUAAAUGGGUUUUGUCUCAAAGUGAAAUCUAUUAAAAUUUACAUAAAAAUUCCUGAAACUUGCAUCAUCUCAUUAAUGUUUGUCUCAAAUGUAGAUAAUUCGAUUAGAUAACCAAGACAAUAGACUUUGUUCUUAAGGUAUAUUGUCAAAUUUGAACUCAUUACUUCUUUAUUAUAUGUUUGCUUGGUGAUCAACCUGAGUUUUAAUCAAAGUUUAUUAAUUACUUCUCCUAUCUAAAUUUAGCAUUCGAAAAAAAUGUUUAUUUGACAUUUACUUUGACCAGGCUUCGAUUUACAAUGUCCAAGAUAUCUUUCUCUUGCGGGUCUCGGUAACCUACAUUUUAGGGUUUAGCCACUAUGCUCAUAUUUAUUUCUCUUAAUACGUACUUUGUUUUCGUGAUUUUUUUUUCCCAUACUUAUCUACUACUCUCUUUUCUUUAUCUCUUUGAAGAACACAAAACACGUUGGCAGGGAUUGGUUUAAAAUACGACCAGAAUGUCAUGUUUGUUUAGAAUAUUUCAAUGGGUCCACCAUAUUUUCCUUGGCUGGUGUAGCUCAGUUGCUCACUGCAACCCACAAAGCAGCUGGCUGUUCAAACACUGCAAAACAUUUUUACUUGGCUGGUGUAGCUCAGUUGCUCACUGCAACCCACAAAGCAGCAGCUGGUGUAGCUCCGUUGCUCACUGUAACCUAUAUUUUACUUGGCUGGCUGUUAAAACACACUGCAACCCACAAAGCAGCUGCUCACUGCACCAAACCCACUAGCAGAAUUGGCCGCAGAUGCCGAAGACACAAGUCAGCUGCUAUCAAACUUCACAUCAAAAUUCUUUAAAUUUUCGUCGUCCCAUUCAAAAGUAGAAUAUAAAAUUUUCGUUAUAAAUUUAUAAUACAUUAUUUCAAUGACAUAGAUUAUGAUCUGAUAUCUCGAGGUUAGAUUAUUUGAACAAUGUAAUGGAUAUAGUCCUGUCAGCCAUGUCUCCAAAAU
rnacentral:lncRNA from 1 species